rnacentral:rRNA from 1 species
AUGGAAGAUGAACCUCCAAUCUUUGCUGAAGAGGAGGCUGGUGCUAGUAAGAAAAAGAAGAAACGAAAACGCGAGACAAUAAAGCAGACUCAAUGCAAAGCGAAAAUGUUGGUGAAGCUAAUGGAUGCGCGAUGGGAGGUGACGCAUUUUGUUCGUGACCACAAUCAUCCGCUGGUGAACAAACCUUCAUUGUCCAAAUACUUGAGAUCCCACCAAAGCAUCUCUCCUGAUGAAAAUGAGUUUUUGCGCAUCUUGUAUAACUGCAACUUGACUACAGGUGUGUUUCUACAUCCCUUACAGAAUUAA